CUGGAUUCUUCACUCGUCUCCUCGUCAGGCGGUCACGCAAUUCACUGCAAGCAGGAUUAUACGAUAUGUGAGAUUCUUGCUGGUGCAGAUGGACAGCUUUGAAAUAGAGAAGUUCAAGGAAAGGCAGCUUGAUACCCUGGUUAAAACCUUUGAAGAUUUUACAAGACUUCAGGAAGCUACAUCCAGAGGCAGACUUUUUGGUAGACUGGGCUACAUUUGCAAGAUGGAAAGGUGCAUUAAGAGCUGGGUGACAUGACUUCAGACGUUAAAGGGGAGAGUGCUUUCAAAGUCCUGCCCAUUCUGGAGGAAGGGUCCACAGAACCACAACCACAGAAGUCUGGAAGCCAUUCAUUGACAUACAAACCUGUGGAGACCAGCAUGUUGGAUUUGUGCCUUGGGGACAAGACAACGACAUCCCAGACCUUCACCAUUGUUACGGGCCGUGCCACUGAAGCCACUGACUUGUUGCCGGGAAAUUUCUCCACCUUGCAGUAUAUUAUACUGAUGGACAUAAGUCUUCAUGUGUGAAUUUUAUUAUUAUUUUUUUUUUUUAAGACCAACUGUUUUUUCUGGCCAAUUGUAACAUGUUUUAAAUUGUCAUAUGUAUUGUCUGGUGGACACUUUGUUUGGCUUAGUUUUAAUCGCACAAUGUUUAGAACGAUUCUCAUGUGGUAAUCAUUCAUUUCUGAGUGUUCUGCUGCUGCAAUGUUAACAAAGAAUGGGAAUCUACAGUGCCUAGUUUACACAGUUUUGUGUUUUAAAGUAACUGAUCUACUAAAAUUGUUGUUUUAUGUGUCUGUAAUGGUUGGAUAAAUUGUU